GUUAAAUUUGGAAGUUAAACAGGUUGUCAUCAGCCAACCACAAACUGCUGACAUCUGAGGAUCUAUCCAGUUCUGAAAACAAAUGAAGCCAAAUCGCUGGAAACAUUACUGGAAAGUCAAACCAAGGGGUCAAUCUAGAAUAUUUCCACUCCUGUUUUGUCAAAACAUCCAAUUAGUCAAACACUUCCAGUGCUCAAAGAUUCAUGUGUAAAUCACUGUAAUUCCGGAACAGAACCGAGUAACCACGUCGCUUCAGUGCUGCGUUCAAUCUUUGUUCAGUACUUCUACAUUUAAGAGCCAAAAGCCAGACAUCUCUCCACACAGACAUGCCAACUGCUCAGCUAUUUAAUCAACGUUCACAUUUAAAUGAGAUCACGGGAAAGCACAUAUAUAUCUGCUUUGCAAGGCAUCAUCACUGAACACUUAGCAGCCCAUUCCUUAUCCCUGUAGAAGUGUGUGUCCAAGGGAGCACACCUUAAAGCUGCAAGGUGGAGGUAUGAAAGGAGUACUGCUGGCAAGACAUCUGUAAAAUUCUGCAACGCUGCUGAGUAAGUGGAAGGAAAAUCCGGUGAAC